UACGUAGGUGGCAAGCGUUUGUCCGGAUUUACUGGGUGUAAAGGGUGCGCAGGCGGAUCUGUAAGUCAGAGGUGAAAUCUCACAGCUUAACUGUGAAACUGCCUUUGAUACUGCAGAUCUUUGAGUUCGGGAGAGGUUGAUGGAAUUCCAGGUGUAGCGGUGAAAUGCGUAGAUAUCUGGAAGAACACCAGUGGCGAAGGCGGUCAACUGGCCCGUAACUGACGCUCAGGCACGAAAGCGUGGGUAGCAAACAGG
rnacentral:rRNA from 1 species